CACAAUUGUCGUAUCUUACAAGUUGUUAAAGGAAGAAUCCUCUCAAACAAAGUAUUUAUUGAUAUGGAAAAUGAGAAAUUAAUCGAAGAAACUAAAGGUGCUCUUAAAAAUGCCAAAGCGCGUUUCGUUGCAGAUCAAAUGCGUGUUCCGGCGAAUGAAGGCAACGACUAUUAACUAAGAUUCUCAACUUUGGUCUUUUCUCAAGUUAUCCUCCUUUCUUGCUAUGGACCACC